GUAGAGUAGCCUUGUUGCUACGAUCCACUGAGGUUAAGCCCUUGUUCUGAAGAUUUGU
rnacentral:rRNA from 1 species